AGCGAACGCUGGCGGCAUGCUUAACACAUGCAAGUCGAACGUGAAGGGGACUUCGGUCCCUGGAAAGUGGCGCACGGGUGAGUAACACGUGGAUAAUCUACCCGAUGAUCUGGAAUAACACUUCGAAAGGGGUGCUAAUACCGGAUAAGCUCACGACGUCUUCGGACGACGCGGGAAAAGGGGGCUUCGGCUCCUGUCAUCGGAUGAGUCCGCGGCCCAUUAGCUAGUUGGUAGGGUAAUGGCCUACCAAGGCGACGAGGGGUAGCGGGUCUGAGAGGGUGAGAAGCCACACUGGAACUGAGACACGAUCCAGACUCCUACGGGGGGCAGAAGUGGGGAAUUUUGGGCAAUGGGCGAAAGCCUGACGCAGCAAUGCCGCGUGAGUGAUGAAGGCCUUCGGGUCGUAAAGCUCUGUCAGAGGGGAAGAAACUCCCGUCGGUUAAUACCCGGCGGGCCUGACGGUACCCUCAAAGGAAGCACCGGCUAACUCCGUGCCAGCAGCCGCCGUAA
rnacentral:rRNA from 1 species